ACCACCAUCAUAAACUCUUUCUCAUUCAUGAAAACCUAACCCUAAAAAAUUGCCGUCACUCUUUCCCUCCUUCUCGUCUCGAUCUGUUCGAAUUUGUCCCUCCCGUUGUCGCUGUAUUCCGAUUCUCCGACGUCCGUGGCAGCUCAAGAAGUACACGGAACGAGAGCGGUCGCCCGAACACAUUCGAGGGGCGCGUUUGGAUCCGCGAAGGCAAUCGCUCGGAUGUUCCCCUAACCCAACCCGGGAACGGACCGGAGGGAACCGCAGCAUGGGGAGUGUCCGCGUCUCGUCGCAAGGCUCAUUUUUAGUUGUGGGUCAUAGGGCGGGCAGCUUUAUCUGAUCAAGGGCCGGGGCACAAGGGUCCUGGUACUAUCCAGGUGCGCCCAUCCAGCAGCCACCUAGGUUCCUUUCAGGUUGACAAGGGACAUUAUUGAUGGCAUGGGUGUAAGUGGAGUCGAAGGAGUUUUUAGAAGAUGUUGCGAGGAAACACUCUCUGUUAUGAGGACAAAUAAAGAAGCACUGCUGACCAUUGUUGAAGUUUUUAUACAUGAUCCUCUGUAUAAGUGGGCUUUAUCUCCUUUGAAGGCUUUACAGCGUCAGAAGAUAUUACGAAUUGGAUUCGCAACAUCGAACAGCAUGGGGAUAAUGUCAAAAAGAUCCUGGUAGGAAACAAGGCUGAUAUGGAUGAAAGUAGAAGGGUUUUUCAUUCCAAUUUUCAGUUGAGGGACAAAGGGAGAUGAAGAAUGCAAUAUUAACUUAAUAAUUUUCUCAAAGAAUAUAUUUUAGUCUCAUCUAUUGGAUUGAUUCUCUAGGACCAGACAAAUAUGGCAAAUUCGCACCGCAGUGGAUUGAUUAAAAGAUCAAGUGAUGGUGCAAAUCUGAAUCGCAUGGGUGUGACCAAUACUGUGGUCUC